AUGAACGCUGGCGGCGUGCUUAACACCUGCAAGUCGAACGAGAAGUGAAGACGGAACCCUUCGGGCGGAAGGCUUUAUUUCGAGUGGCGGACAGGUGAGUAACGCGUGGGUAACCUGCCUCAUACAGGGGGAUAACAGUUGGAAACGACUGUUAAUACCGCAUAAGACCACAGCACCGCAUGGUGCGGGGGUAAAAACUCCGGUGGUAUGAGAUGGACCCGCGUUCGAUUAGCCAGUUGGCGGGGUAACGGCCCACCAAAGCGACGAUCGAUAGCCGAUCUGAGAGGAUGACCGGCCACAUUGGGACUGAGACACGGCCCAAACUCCUACGGGAGGCAGCAGUGGGGAAUAUUGCACAAUGGGGGAAACCCUGAUGCAGCGACGCCGCGUGAGUGAAGAAGUAUUUCGGUAUGUAAAGCUCUAUCAGCAGGGAAGAAAAUGACGGUACCUGAGUAAGAAGCCCCGGCUAACUACGUG
rnacentral:rRNA from 1 species